UUAAUUUUUUAACAUAAUUACAGAAUUUUUAAUGGGAGGAAAAUUGAGGGGAGGGUUUUAGGAUUUGUGUGACAGUUCAACAGCGCAAUCUCCGUAAAGGGCAGUCAGACGGCUGGGGGCAAAACAAUUCGUAGAACUGGUUCUCGUAAGAGCUCGCAAGGGGGUGUCAAAUACGGACAUUGUGCCCCCCCCCCCCCCCCGGAAUAUAGCGUUUACUGAUGAUGUUGGUGUCUUUGAAGUGUUUCUGCUGCCUCUCCAGCUUCUAGACAAGAUCAAUCUCUGACAGUGCAACAACCUGUCCAGCAUUUGACAAAGAUGCGAAGUGAACGAGAGCCAGACUUCGUUGGGAAAUGUCCGGACCGCAGCUCUUCACGUGAGACACACCCAGAUUAGGGAUAACAUCUCCCAGCUGUUCAGACCAGAGAUGGAUCAAGAGCUCAACCUCUGCCACUAUUUCGGCAGAGAACAGACAGUGGACUUUACUCCAGGGAUGUAUGAGGAUACAGGCGAGACUGGCAACUACAGACAGCUCCAGGCUGGACCUGUCUGUCCCCUCUCUCCUCCCUCAUCUAUCUGACCCCACCACAGCUUGUA